CCCCGCGCUGCCCGCGCGCCUUUUUCCCUCUCGCAAGUCCCAAAUAUGUCGCUCAUUCUCCAUUUCUUGUUCAUUUGGCAGUUCUUUUGCUAUCAGAUUUAUCAUUCUCCAUUUCUUGUCUGGUGUUUGGUGGUGUUUCUCCAAUUUUUUCUCUGGUGGUUUCAUAUGAAUUUUUUCUUCAUUUUGUUUUUCAUUUUGUUUUUCAUUUUUUUUUUUGACUUUGUGUUCUUCAAUUCUUUUGCGGUGGUUUUUCUUUAAAUUUUGAUAGUGGUUCUUGGUUCUUCUCCAGAUUUUGUUGGAGGUUUUUGUGCUUUUUUAGGGUUUCUUUUUUGUUGGUCGACAUUUUUGCUAUUGUAAGAGAUGUGGUCAAAUGGAUUUUUGCUCUGAAAUUGUUGCUCUGGUGGCCAUACUCUUCCCAUCGAAUUUCUAGGAGUUGUUUUCCUCCUUUAUUGUUGUUGAUUCUUCUCAAGAAUAGCCAAUAUUUUUUAGUUUAAAUCACCAUUCCUCUUAUCUCCAUUUUUCUUAAAGUGGAUCUUGCAGGAUUUGAAUCCAUUUCGACCAUUUCAAUGGCAUCAAAGCUGAAGGAGUCUCCUUCAAACAACCCUGAUGAAGCCACUAGAGUAUACUUCAUGCAAAAAAAUUAUGUUUCGAAUUAAAGAUCCUAAAGGUAGCCUCUAUUUUUAUUCUCGCAUUCUGGGCAUGUCGUAAGUUUCUCUCCAGAAAAUUUCACGUGUCAGAUAAUGAUUGUUCAAUGUGUCAGGCUCUUGAUUGUGAAGUUUUUCUUAUGGUGUUCAAUUACAUGCUUUGCACUUAUAUCUAGAUACAUAGUCUUCAUAUGGUAGUGUAGCUUAACAAGGGGAUAUUUUAGAAGUUAUGCAUAUUUAAAUGCUUUGGUUACAUACCGGCUUUGAAGGUGACAACUUUGAGGUUUACAGGGAUAACAAGAGCAAGGAUUUUGAAGGCAGGAGGAUAAUGCUUGAUGUUUGACCAGCUGGCUAUAAGUGCUCCUCUUGGGCAGAGCUGGUUAUCCUCAGGGGUCCUAAGAAUGCUCAUGAACAAUUAAGCACUUUGGUAAGGCUCCUAGUGUGCCACACAACCACACUAAACCAUAUGUGUGGUCCAAGGGAAGGGGGUUUGAGAGGGCUAGAGGGAGAAGGAACAAGAGCGGAUUUAGGGUUUGAGUCAUUUAUUAUGCUAUCUUGAAGUAGGGAUAUUAGUGAGGCAAAUAUCUAUGUUUUGUUGUGGUUCAAAUUUUGUUAGUCGUUUAGAUAUAACUGGUGUUUGUUUCUUGUCUUUCGCCCUUAGUAGUUAAUACUAGAUGAAUUGAACUUCGACAAUUUUGAAAAUGAAUGGCAGUAACACAUUCAUAGUUUUUUUUCCAUGAAAAUGCUUUGAAUUGCUUGGCUUACUAAAGAAGACAAUAUCCCCUACGUAUUAGCUUAUUGGAUUCAAUUUAUCACCUCAUAUGUGAACAUCUCAUUCUCCACCUCAUCCAUGCCAUUUUAAUGCUAAGACAAUCAUGUCCUCUCCAUUUUGGAUUUUAUCUAAUAGUUUUUCUUCUAAAUAGUUUGGUUGGAAUUUAUCUUACUAGCAGGAACUUCAUGGAAAUUUCCUUUUCCUAUCUAAUCUAACAGAAAUUAAUUAAGAAGAUGCCAUUAUCAACUAGUCUCUUACUUUUUCUUUUUUCUGACCUUUGACAUGACACUUCAUGCAUUUUUGGUUUUGGUGAACCUAUGUACAGGACGCCACAUUUUUCCUUGCCUCUCUUGUAGUUUCUAAGGUGCAUGCAUGGUUGGCAUUUCGCAAGAACAAAUUCUAUUGGGACGCAAGGAUUAGGUAAAAUUAUUGAUGUUGCUUAUAGGUGAUUCUCCUCUAUAUUAUAUUUUUUGUCUUCUUCGUGGUAUUCUAUAAUUCUUCUUGUCUAGGCAGGGGUGUGCAAGUUUGCUUAAUGGAUUGUUUAUGACUAGCUUAUUUGGUUGAAUUUGUUCAACUCUAUUUUGUGAUCAUCUCUUCUUCUUGUUGGUAAUAUAUUUUUUUCUUAUGGUUUUUUCUUUGACUAGUAAAUGGUAAUUUGAAAUAUUCAUCCAUGAUUUCCCAAACCCUAACAUUGAGACCCUACUUACUGUGGACCCUUUCCAAUUCCUUUGUGGUUGUAAAUGGGGAAUUUGAAAAUACAUGUUUAGGAAGAGCAGCUAUGAGCUGCAUUUAUGGCUGUAGUUGUGUGUAAUUUUUAGAAUAUUUUAUUGAAUGAUAGAUGCAUUUUUGCUUCGGAUGCAUGCACAUACGUGUUUCUUAACUUUUAAGUCUGUGUAUUUUUUGAACUUCUUUUGUUUCCAGGUUGUAGUUGCACCCUACCUAUUUGUCUUUGCAUAGUGAUUUAUAUGGCUUGGGUUCUUAUACAAUGUUUAUCUUCACAUGGUGGUUUAUCUUAUUAUUAUUUUUUGUUUCAAUUUGUGUACUUUCUGAAACCAUUUGUAUUUGGCUUGAAUUUUAAAACACUAGCCUGAAGUAGGUGGACAGAUUCUCUUCUAUGUUAAUAUGUAAGUUGGAGUAUUAUUUCUUCUCAUGAUCAAUGUUCUAAGUUGGUGAUAGAGAUGACAAUAAGGAUUUGUGUUCGAUACUUUGACAGUCAAAAUCUAAAAAACCAAACAUUUCUCUCU